rnacentral:lncRNA from 1 species
GGAUACCUCAUUACAUUUCAUUGUCAUGUCACCUUAGGCUCCUCUUGACAGUUUCUCUUCUUUUUUGCUUAGAAAUUCUCCAGAAUUUCAGAAACUUCUGGGCAUCGCUAUGGAACUUUUUCUGCUGUGCAGUGAUGACGCAGAGUCAGAUGUCAGGAUGGUGGCUGACGAAUGCCUCAACAAAGUUAUCAAAGCUUUGAUGGAUUCUAAUCUUCCAAGGUUACAGCUCGAGCUCUAUAAGGAAAUUAAAAAGAAUGGUGCCCCUCGGAGUUUGCGUGCUGCCCUGUGGAGGUUUGCUGAGCUGG